rnacentral:ncRNA from 14 species
CUGCGGAAGGUGACUGGCGCGAAAACGUGGGAAGACCACGGGGAAGCCUUCUGGCAUAGCAAAGACCGUGCGCCUGGGUCGGACGC